UAUGUUCAAGCUGAUUGGUUCAGAGAGGAAGGAUCCAAUGUCUCAAAAAAAAAAGAGAAAUGAAUGUAUGAACUCAAAUUCAAAGAAAGAACAAUUAUUAACUUUAGAAAACAAUAUAUAUAUAUAUAUAUAUAUAUAUAUAUAUAUAUACACACACAUAUAUAUAUGUGAUGGCCUUAAGAUACUUUGGAAAAGAUGUGAAUUAUGGGAAAAAUCUUUAGAAUUAAAAAAAAAAUUGAUAUUCCUAAAUAUGAUCUCUUCAGUUUUAUUAUAUAUAGAUCAUGUACAACUAUUUUUUCAUUUUGUGUGUAAAAAUUUAUUACUAUAAAUCUUUUUGUUAUAUACCAAUAUAUAUAAUUUCAGAAAAUAAUAUAUUUGACCUCUGUUCCAAAAGAAGUCACUCCAAACAGAAUCUUACAAUACUAAAAGGAUAUAUCAAACUCUCUAAGCUAUGCCACCUCAGAAAAUUAAAUCAACCAAUGAGAGAGUUUCAAUUUGACAAGUCACUUAAGCUUCUGUCGACCAAAUCUUAAACAUGGCAUUUCCGUGGCCUCAUUAUUUUCAUCACUGACCCAUCUAAAAUCCACAUCUCCAACCGUGACCUUCUUCGAUGUUAAUGAUGGUGAUGAUCGACUCCGGCGCUUCCACUCCCUGCAGAUCACCAUUUCUUCUCUGCAUUAAUCUCGAUCCUUUACAUCUGUUCUUAAUUCCUUUCUUAAUUAUUUCGUUUCACCUUCCACCGUUCCUCUUCCUAAUUCAACCUAUAAAUCUUAAAUCACCUAAUCCAUAAAGCCUCUGCCUCUCCUCCAUCUUCGUCUUUUCAUUGUCUCUGAGAUUUUCUUUACCAGUUUGCAACAAUGUUAUUAUUCGCUCUUUGGUGAAAUUGAGUUAAGAGAUUGAAAAGUUGCAGUUUCUAUGUUUUUCUUAAAAAAAAUAUCAGGAUAAUAUGGAUGCAGGUGGUGACAACAAUUUAAUUGGUCAGUUCGGUAUGGAGUUCUAUUCAUCAUUCUUGGUUGCAGAUUGCAUAAGUUAUUUUGUUGUCCUUUCUGUGUACUCUGAUCAUUGUUAUACUCACCUCUCCACCAACUGAAUAAUGUGUUAAUUAUUUAUGUUUUGAAGUUUACUGUGUCAGCGAAGAGCCCAAAGUCUCAUUAAGAAAUAUGUAAUAGGAAGAGAAGCAAAUCCAAGCAGUUAUACCAUUACGGAAGAGACUGAUCCUCAGCUAAUAAUUCCUAGGGGAACUUGUAGUAGUUAGCAUCUUAAGGUGGUUAUGCUUUUGUAUUUCUUUUGUAUAUAUCUAUAAUAAAAACCCUACAUCCUAAACUUACUCUCCUUUUUUCUGGCUGUCUAAUGUAGUGGAUGACGAAGGGGUUUGUAGAUCCAGAGCGAAUUCAGAAGCUCGUGAAAAACUAUUUGCAGUUUGUUUCGAUAUAUAUAUAUACUUGGCAGGAAAAAAGAUACACUCAUACACAAAAGAGGUUGAAGUUGAGAUGACUCAGCUGAAUCAAAAAGAACAAAAAAGAUCUGGAUGACCAAACUGAGGUAUAGUUUGCUUCUCUUAUCAUGUUCUGAGAAUUGUCUUGAUAAGCACCAGAGAAAUAUUUUGAUCCGUAUCAGGGAAUAGCUAGAUAGUUGGCAUGGAGUUCACGCCUUUUUUUUUUAUGUGUAACAGUGGAAAGAAUAUUUAAAAACAAUAUUAGAUCUUUAAAAGAAAAAGACUAUUAAAAUUAUUUAAAAAUAAAAAAUUGCCGCAAAACAUUUGAACCACAUGAGCCUAAUGUGCUUGGAAGUAAGACUCUAGUUCGGAUGCGGCUCGACGAAGUAACUCUUCAUCAUGUCGAAAAUCUCCGUGUGAAACGAUCAUCGAUUCCAAACCUAGAAAAUAAUAGAUAUAGUUAAAUUAUGUAGGAAAAUGUUUAUAUAUAUAUAUAUAUAUACAAUAAAAGUAAAAAAAAUACAUAUAGAAAAUGUUUGGUGGUCGAUCAGGGUCCAAACCCUCCAUUCCUUCUUUUCCUGGCUGGGUGAGUAGAUCCUCGAUAGUAUAUCGAGCAUAAGUUUCAACUGGAGGCACCAAAAAAAUCUGGAUGAACUCCGGCUGCAAGGGCUGUAGGCGUAUCAGGAUCCUGAGGGGGAGCAGCCGCUGCUGCAAUCGAAGCAACUGGAGGUGCAGCAGGAGCAGAUGGUGGUGGUGAAGUUCUCUAAGACUGAUAGUCCAUGACGACUUCUAGAUCUGAAGAAGGGCCCGAACUAGAUGUGUCUACAUGUCCCAUUCCAACAUAUCACUAUAAUGUGGGGUUUCCAUCUUCUGUUCCUAUGAGCCAUCUACAAAAAAAAAACAAAUUCAAAUUAAAAAAUAAAUGAAUUAUAUAUAACUAUUUCUAAUUCCGAAACUGAUCUGUAAGUUCCAUAAUCUAAUCUAGGGGUGAGCGAGUAAAGUGAAUUCGAAAUCUAAACCGAAUCUGAGCCGAUAAAAAUGAAUUCAAACCAAAUCCGACAUAAAUACCGAAUGAGACUUGUUUUUAUGAUAUUUUGGGUUAUGGGCUAUUAUCGGAACCAAACCCGAACCCAAAUGAAUAUCUUAAAAACCCCUAAAAUUUCAAAAUUCCAAAAAUGACCUGAACUCAGUCUCAAAUAAGUACACAAAAUACUCUAAGAUUUUAUUGAGAACAUAAAAUAAAUAUUUAUUACAUAAAUAAUUAACUCAUAUACUUAGUUUAAUAGAUCUUGAAUUUGGUGAAUAAUUAACUCGAUGGAUUGACUUUACUUUCAGAUGUUUGCUUUGAGUUAAUUACAAGAUAUAUUAAACUAAGUAAAUUCAAUCCAUCAAGUUAAUUAUUCAUGCAGUAGAAGAUAUAUUAAACUAAGUAUUUGAGUUAAUUAAAUAUUUAACUCAUAUACUUAGUUUAAUAGAUCUUGUAUUUGGUGAAUAAUUAACUCGAUGGAUUGACUUUACUUUCAGAUGUUUGUUUUGAGUUAAUUACAAGAUAUAUUAAACUAAGUAAAGUCAAUCCAUCAAGUUAAUUAUUCAUGCAGUAGAAGAUAUAUUAAACUAAGUAUUUGAGUUAAUUAUUAAGCUUAAAUUAUGAAAUUUCCAGUUUUUAUUAAAUUUAGAUUACAUGAUUUACAAUUGUUUGUUUUUACAUGAUCUCAAUUUAAUUUCCAACAAAAUAUUUCUCUUAAUUUUUUAAAAUUAAUUCAAAGUUAAAAUGAAUGAAUAGAUUUUAUUGUUUCGAAAAGACUUUUUUGUCAUCAACAAUCGAGAAAAAAUUCAGGAUUAUAAUAAUAAAAUGUUCACAUGCUCUUUUUAGUCAUAAAAGGAUAGUUUCAUUAUCAUUUUAAGUUAUUUUGAAUUUAAUUAAAUUUGAACUAUAUAUUUGCAUUCAAAUUUAAAUUUUGGAUUAUUUUUGACAAACGACUCUACUUUUUUAUAUUGGUUUAACCAAAAAAUAGGGAAAAGGCACCGGAGAUAAUGCUGUCAAAUAGAUAAACAUAAAAAAUAAUUAUUAACUGUUGAGUGAAGAAAUAUAUCUCCCAUCGUUCUUCAUUUACUAAGGCUCCGAAUGGUAAUUGCGGUUUGAGUGGUACGGGACAAGCGGUUUAACUGCAGUGUGGUUUUAACAGUUAUAAAAUGUAUAGAUAUAUGGUAUAUGUAGAGAUUUUUGUUACUGUUAACUGCGGUGCGGGGCGGGGCGGUUCGUAACAUUUGAGCCUAAAUGUAACUUUUAUAUCACAGAUGUGGUAAUCCAGCUGGUUUAGUAACAGGCGUUGAUGUUGUUCCAUUCCUAGAUUUAAUCCACUGCAGGAAAGAUGUUUUACGUCAUAUAUGGUAUUUAACCCCGUUUCAAUGUUUUAUGAGCUCUGGUGCAUGAACAAUACAAAACAAUUUGAAAAAAAGUUAUAAAUUUGAAAAACAUACUCUAAACUGUAACAAAAAUUUCUAAAAAUUUUGGGGUUCAAUGCAAAAGCACCUUGGACGCACCCCUAGAGAAAGGCCUGAUAGCUUUAGCAUCAGUCGAAUCCCGAGCCUAAAAGAUUAUUUGGACCGAAGGCCCAAACACUUCUGGUUAUCAAAAACAAAACAAAAAAUACAAUUUUUAUUCAUUCAUCCAAAAAAGAUUACUUAACAUCAAUUCAAUGAUACCAAUAUCUGCUUAAUCACUAAGACGACUAAGCCAAAUGAGAUGACAAGGUUUAGACCUAUCAGUCUAUACAAUGUCAGCUAUAAAAUAAUAUCUAAGAUCUUAUGCCAAAGAUUGAAGAAGAUUCUUUCACAACGGAUAUCUAAAACCCAAUCAGCCUUUGUUGCUGAAAGACAAAUCACAGAUAAUAUCAUGAUAGCUCAGGAGAUGUUCCAUGCACUGAGGAACAAACCGAGUGGACAAGUUAAGGAAAUGGCCAUAAAACAGAUAUGAGUAAAGCAUAUGAUAGGAUGGAAUGGUCAUUCAUUGGGGCUGUCAUGCGGAAUAUGGGUUUUUCAGAGAUAUGGAUUGACUGGAUUAUGAGAUACAUCACCUCGGUCAAGUACAAAGUUCUCAUGAAUGGAGAACCAAGGGAAAUUAUUGUCCCAGGAAAAGGUUUACGUCAAGGAGAUCAUCUGUCUCCUUUCAUAUUUAUUCUAUGCACGGAAGCGUUCGUUAGCCUUCUUAAUCAUGCACAUAACUAAGGGAAGAUAACGGGGAUGCGAGUCGCAUGCACUAGCCCCUCGGUAUCACACCUUCUCUUUGCUGAUGAUAGCCUUUUCUUCUGUCAGGCGGAGCCCUGUGAACGUGAAGAAGUUAUGAAAGUAGUCAGGAAAUAUGGGAAAGCAUCAGGUCAAUGUAUCAACUUCGAUAAAUCCUCAUUACUCUUUGGUAAGACGAUUCCAGCAAAUGAUCCUACUUAGGAAACCCAGAGGAUAUUAGUGGAUCAAAGUGUAAGCUAUUCGCUUUCUUAAAAGAAAACUACUACACAGAGUUAAUGGUUGGACUGGUAGAUGGCUACCGAAGGGAGCAAAAGAAGUUUUAAUUAAAUAUAUCUUGCUUGCUCUUCCGACUUAUGUCAUGUCCAGCUUCUUGCUUUCUUUGGAGAUAUGUGAGAACCUUGCAAGUGUCAUUGCAUAAUUCUGGUGGAGCUGGAAUCCACCAAAACGAGGAAUUCACUAUGCUAAAUGGGAAAAGAUGUGCGCCCCUCGUGAAGAGAGAGGAAUUGGUUUCCGCAUGAUCCACGAAUUCAACCUAGCUCUUUUAGCGAAGCAGCUUUGGCGUCUUGUUCAAUUUCCAGAUUUAUUAGUGGCGAGAGCUCUUCGGGGAAAGUAUUAUCGCCUGAGUUCGCCUUUGCGAAUUGGCGCAGUGGAUACUCCAUCUUAUGUGUAGACGAGUAUUAUAGCCUCGAGGAAGCUAUUACGUUUGGGUAUCAGAAACAAAGUGCAUUCAUGAUAUGAAAUUAAUGUGUGGCAUGAUCCUUGGAUUCCCUCAACGCCAGCAAGGCCGGCUCACCCUCGAGCCCUAGUAGUACAUCCAAAGAUGACCGUCAGCAGCCUUAUUAAUUUUGAAUCAAAGGAGUGGGAUGCUUGACUACUGGAACAGUAUGUAGAUCAAGAUGACAUACCAAUGAUUCAGAGUUUGUCCAUAAGCCUUACUCAUCGACGUGAUACAUUUUGCUGGAGCUACACCAAAAAUGGUCAAUAUAUAAUCAACUUUGGAUAUUGGUUUCUACAAAUUUGAUGACAGCUGACGAGGCAAUAGAAGUUCUACAGCCCACUUUAACCAAACUUCAAGCCUUUGGUUGGAAAGUGAAUGCACCACAAAAGAUUUGUCAUUUUAUAUGACAAUUAAUCUUAGGACAUGUAGCGGUAACAAGGAAUCUGAUAUGCCGUAAUAUGCAAUGUGAUAGCUACUGCCAAAGAUGCGGAGAGCCAGAAGAAACUGUUACUCAUGCGAUCUUUAAAUGCCCACCGGCCUUACAAGCAUGGGCAUUAUCAUCAACACUGUCAAGCUCUCAAACUUUCCCUAUAUCGAGCAUAUACGCAAAUAUGGACUAUCUUUUCUGGAGGAAGAGUAGUAUUAUGAAGCCAGAAGAUGAUAGAGAGACACUAAUCCUUGGAUAAUCUAGUAUAUUUGGAAGGAUAGGAAUGAUAAACUAUUUAGAGGUAUAGACAGAGAUCCAUUGGAACUAGUCAGGUAUGCAGAGAGUGAAUGCCAAGCUUCGUACAAUGCGAAGUAUACUAUACAUGUUCCUUCACAUGCACAACUUGUUGAAGAAACACAAGCCUUAAGCUUGCGUAAUAUUUGUAUGGUGGAUGGUUCAUGGACCUCCACAGAUCAAUUUAAUGGAAUUGGAUGGGUUUGAAAAGAUAGCAUGGGGAAGAUUUAACUUAUGGGGACAUAGAACUUAAAGAGGUGUGAGACAACAUUGCACUCGGAACUAGAAGCGCUAAAAUAGGCAAUGGAAAGCAUGCUACAGCGUUCGACCUGUCAGAGGUUUGGGACAGAUUGCAAGGACCUGAUUGCAAUGAUAAUGAACCCACAAGCUUGACCAAAAUUCUCAACUGAGCUGGAGGUCAUUCAAAUUCUUCAGAUGUGUUUUUUGGACUUCAGGAUCAGCUACUUCCCAAUGAUGCAAAAUGAAAUUGCUGAUUCGCUAGCUAGGAAUGCCCGUUCUUUUCAUCGAUCUCUUUAUUUUAUUGGUUGUUCUAUUCCGGUUUGGUUACACAUGCCACCUCAAAUUUUAGUGAUAAAAUAACCGUUUGUUGCCAAAAAAAAAACAAAAAAAAACAUCAAUUCUUCAUUUUGAUUUAGAUAUAAUUUAGCAUUUACAUAAAAACUUUCUUACAUUUUUAAAUUGUAUAUUUCAAUUUUUAAAAUUUGGAUAAAAUAUAUAUUAGUGUAACUCUGCUAUUGAAUUUGUUUGGUAUUUGCUAACAAAAACGUAUAUAUAAAUUGAUCCGUAAUCUGAUUUAAAUCUAAUUCUAGUAGAGUUCCUAUGGAUACAGAAAAAAAUGUAUUGAAAUUAUUAUUUUUAGUGAAGUGACCUGAUCGUGAUAUUAAUGUGAUUACGAUGUGUCUAGUUAUUAAAACUAUAAAAGUGAUGUGAAUCAUCGAAAUUUGAAAAAAAAAUUGUUAAAAAGCAUUUUCUAAUUUAAAUACUCUUUAUUAUAUUAAAAAGGUAAAACAGUGUUAUUACACAAAGAUACAAGUGGCAUGCACUUUCAAUCAAGAUUCAUUAGUUUUAUACUUUUAGUUUAUAAAAUCCAUAUUUCCAUUACCAUUUAUGGUGGAAACUGAGUUCAUCAAAAUAAUCAUAAGAGAUUGUUGUCCAUAUAUUUUUCUCUUUCUCAUCUUAAAAGUGUCGUUGUAUUUUACAUUGUAUAAUGCCUAGAUUUGUUUAGUAUAGUUGAAAGCUCCAAUAAUCAGACAGUCAAUUUUUUUGGGGUAGAUAUGGAUUUGCUUUGAGUGCACAAUUUUUGUUUUUAUUCAACUAUAAAAUUUAUCAAUAUUUCUUUUGCUAUAAUUUGGAGUUCAUCAAUUUCUUAUUACUAUAAAUUCGACACAUUUCGAUCCCAUGGCCCUCAUAUUAAAUAGCAACUUCUUUUUUUUCCUUUUUAUCUUUAUUAUCGACUGUAUAUUUUUCUUUAAGGUGCACAAUUUUUUGUUUUUGUUACUAUAAAAUUUAUCAAUUUUUUUUUGCUAAAAUUUUGAAUUUAUCAGUUUCUUGUUUCUCCAAAUUCUACUCAUUUUGAUCCCCUGGCCGUCAUAUUAAGUACCAAUUUUUUUUUUCUGUUUCAUCUUUAUUAUCGACCACACAUUUUAUAGAUCAAUCAUUAAUGUGUACAUAAUGAUCCAGACUGGACCUUAACCAAUAUUUUUCUGUUGACGAUUUUCUAAGCCAUUCAUUCAAGUUGAUAUAAGUCAUAAUGAAAAUGAUUUUUUCCUGUAUUUUAAACACCAACAAAUUUCAAAUGUUGAAUUUAUAAAUUAGUGAUUUUGAUUUUUUUAAAAAGAAAGACGAAAUUUUGCAGAUCUUUCGUUUCGGAGGCAAUAUACGAAAGAAACAAAAACAUGGUUUGUACUUCUUGAUAGAUAUCAGCUUUAGAAACUGAUUCUCACCUUAAAUAAAGAAGAAUUUUUGUAAUAACAAAAAUGAUGAAAACUAAGCAUAUAAAUAAUAAACUAAGCACAUUGAAAAAGUAUAAAUAUUAGAUUUCUAAAUAAUAAAAUAACAAGAUUUGUAAACUUAAACUAAACGUUACAAAAUAGUUUACAAAAGACAAAAUAAACAAAAGAGUUACUAAGAAGUCUAUGUAAACCUUGCGGAUGUGAUCGUACUGUAGAAUGGGUUUAGAAAAAUGUUAA